ACUCCUACGGGAGGCAGCAGUGGGAAUAUUGGACAAUGGGGGAACCGUAGCAUCAGCCAUGCCGCGUGUGUGAAGAAGGCCUUAUGGUUGUAAAGCACUUUAAGCGAGGAAGGAGGCUACUGAGACUAAUACUCUUCGGAUAGUGGACGUUACUCGCAGAAUAAGCACCGGCUAACUCUGUGCCAGGCAGCCGCGGUAAUACAAGGGUGCAGAGCGUUAAUCGGAUUUAC
rnacentral:rRNA from 1 species